AGAAUGAACGCUGGCGGCAUGCCUAACACAUGCAAGUCGAACGAAGGCUUCGGCCUUAGUGGCGCACGGGUGCGUAACGCGUGGGAAUCUGCCCUUGGGUUCGGAAUAACAGUUGGAAACGACUGCUAAUACCGGAUGAUGACGUAAGUCCAAAGAUUUAUCGCCCAGGGAUGAGCCCGCGUAGGAUUAGGUAGUUGGUGUGGUAAAGGCGCACCAAGCCGACGAUCCUUAGCUGGUCUGAGAGGAUGAUCAGCCACACUGGGACUGAGACACGGCCCAGACUCCUACGGGAGGCAGCAGUGGGAAUUUUCCGCAAUGGGCGAAAGCCUGACGGAGCAAGACCGCGUGGGGGAAGAAGGCUCUUGGGUUGUAAACCCCUUUUUCUCUGGGAAGACGCAAUGACGGUACCAGAGGAAUCAGCAUCGGCUAACUCCGUGCCAGCAGCCGC
rnacentral:rRNA from 1 species